rnacentral:lncRNA from 1 species
UUUUUUUUCUCUUCUUCUCUUACUCUUCUUUCCUUAAUUAUGAAGUAAUCAAGGGCAGAAAAUCAGCAAGCAAAAGAAAUGCCCAAACUUCUUUUGGGUGUGAAAGAUGAAAGAUACCCAAGCUCCUUAGGCGAUAGAGCUAGAAGAGAGAAGAGAGGGAGAAGAGAAAGGGGGUGUGGAGAGGUCUUAUAGGAGGCAUGAGCUACUGGAAGUCAGAAGUAAAGAGCCUUAGAGAAGGCCCCUUUAAAUAGACAAAAGGCUUGAAUCCUAUUCAAAAAUAAAUAACCUCUUAAUACAAGUCUUACUUGUAUUAAGAAUCUUUAUUCCCUUAGUUAUUUGACC